GUGCAGUCGGCCUACGCGGACGAGGGGAUGGGCCGGCCCUGCAUGCUGGCGACCUGUUGGGCACAGGAAGCGUCCGGGUGCCCAACCGUACCUGCGAGGGUUAUGAACAAAGAGACACGGGCCGUAUUGGACACCGGCAGCGUGGUCACCCUCCUCCGCCCCGACCUGGCGGAGGGAAGGGAAAGGUCACCCAUGGAGGUGACAUGUGUACACGGGGACACCCGAACCUACGGGACCUGCCACGUAGUCAUCCGGACACCGCAGGGGGUGUUCACGGCUAGGGCGGGGAUCGUACCACACCUCCCGGUGCCGCUCCUGAUCGGGAGGGAUUGUCCGAUAGCCCACCAGAAGCAGAUCAGGCCUCACCGGGAGGCCCACCAGAAGCAGAUUAGCCGCCUGUGAGACAAGAAGCUAAAGGUGGAGGAAAGGAACCACGAGCUGCAGGACCUAAAGGGCAAACAGGACCGCCGCGAGCAGACCAACGCUGAUGCCUUGUCCCGACGGGAUACCUGCCUGGGCGGGUUCCCCUACUACCGGGGGCCUAAUCAAGCGGUGGAGUGUGGCGUCCCACCCCUUAAACCUCGGUCCGGACGGACCCGAGGUUUCAUCCUGGACGGCAAAUACUACCGUUAUCCACCAGCCGGCGACGGAGAGCACCCGUGGAACCCCAAUCGGCGAGAUGGGAGACACCUGGCUGGACAGCCAGGAAGAGACUUUAAAAGGAGCAUGAGGACGGACAUUUGGGUGGAACUGGAGCGAGGGAGAAGGAAGCGCUCGGGUCCGCGAGCGACUAGAGGCUCACGGAGGCCCUAGAGACCGCAAGCAUAUUAUUUGUCUAAGAUGUAUGCAAUAAAUGCCGAGUGCGGCUUAACCCUCGCUUAACGUGUGAUUCCUACCUGGAACCCGGCACAUUGGGGGAGUGGGUUACCACAACGUAUUAAAAGGAAGUUUACAGUGUGUUAAUGUGUUUAAAGUGAGGAGUGUGAAUCUGAGAUUUUAGCUCAUGCUUUUUUUUUUUUUUUUUGCUUUGUUCUACAUGACACCUUCUUCUGUUUUGGCAUUAUGUAGAGUGAGUAAAGUGUGUGUGGUGGCCUUAUGUCAAAGAUCUCUGUAAGGAAAUGCCUGUGUUAACAUUGACUUGAGAAACCUGCUUUCUGCUUUGGUUUGAGAUGAGCAAUUAAAAAUAUAUAAUUUCCUGUUGUUUACCUGUUUACCACUUCCACAUUUUAACACAAUGAACAUAGGCCUGCUCCUCACCAUUUUGCAUUAUGUUAUAAUUUGGUCAUGAAAUUGUUACUAAGAAAAUAUGUUCAACAAAAAUAUACGUUACUAAUUGGAUUGAGAUCAGAGGCAAAGCAUUUCACAUGUAGGCUACUUCUAAUGCUAUUAAGUGCUAGCAAAGGAAAACCAUCGUAUUUUUCUAUCACUGUCAUUAACAAAUAGGAAAUGUUAUAUCUAAUGAGGAAGUUGGAGAACACUCGCUAUAAGAAGCCUUGCUCUCCACAGUGAGCAGUAGUUUGAGACACACGACACACAGAGGGAUAGAUAGAUAUGGGUACUUCUACGUCACGUGAAGGUAAGCAUAACUUUAAUAUACAAGAUUGUAUAUUAUAUAGUAUUAUCUAGCUGUGCAUUUAUGUUCAGUAAUUCCAUGUUGGUCUUUGUUCUCUUUGCUUUUAAUCCACAUGGAGCACCAAGCACAAGCAGACCAACCACAACCACAGUGAAAGCCAGCACCAGCACAGCAGCAAGGACCUCAACAUCAACACCAACCACACACACACUGAAAGGUAUUCCAUCUCUAUCAUGUUUUAAAAUGGUGUGUUUCUAUCUAUCCCUGUUACUCUGUGGCCCUUGUAGCAUCAGGUUAAUAUGUAUUCUAACUAUCUAACAAUCACCAAAACCAACGCUAAUAAAUCAUCACACUUCCUACUUCUGUUUCACAGAAACACAGAGCUGGCCAGAGAUGUACUUUAUUAACCACAACAACAUGUCUGCAGGGCCAUGAGUCAGGCUGGAUACACACUCUGCAUCAAGUGAUGGCUGAGUUGAUAAGUAUUUUGAUAUAGUUAAGAGGUAUUGAGUUAUCAUAGUUAAGCGACAAAGAGACAAAACUAAGUUCAUUAUGAGCAACAUGUGACACUGCUGACCCGGGAAUGUGUUCUAACAAUCUGACAAUCUCUCAAUGCAUCACCAACAAAGGUUUUCCCACGUUCUUCCGCUUGCAAAAAUACUUCCCCUUGCACAAAACCAAAUUGAAAUGAUGUCCGUGUGUGACCAGGUUUAGAGCCACUAAACACAGCUAAGCAUGCGUGCAACAGAACCUGCAUAAUUUCUAAAUGAGAGAUUACUAUAUCCAUCUCUAUAUAGUCACUAAGCCGAUGCUUCUGUCAAGGUAUACAAACAGUGAGUUCAGCUCUUUAAUGACGUCACUAAGGAGCAUGUAGGGGUUAGGGGCAGCUUGCUCAAGGACGCCAUUAAAGUCUGGCUGUGUAUUGUGGACAUUGGGGUUGGAUCCCAGAACCUCUUUAUCUGGGAGUCAAACCCCUGAACAAGUAGUUGACGACAAAUCCCAUGUUUCUCUUUGUUCUGUCAUUGAUUUUAAACCACAUGGAGCAGCCAGCAGCAUCCCAGCAGUAAGGACUUCAACACCAACACCAAUCAAUGGUGAGAAGAACACCAUUUAAAAAGGGUGUUCUUACUUAAUCUGUGGAAUUAGGUCACGUAAAAUCAAUCAUCAACAUAAGUGUUGGUCUGACAAUCACCUCAGCCAACUCUAUGUAACCGUCACCAGGGCCGUCGGACUGCGGGGACAAAGGGGACAGUUGUGGGGGCCCAAGAUGAGAGAGAGUCCCCCCCCCGUCAACAACCUGGCGCAGGGGGGCCCAUCAGUACCUAUAGUAUAGGGGCCCAGGAUUUGGUGCUACGGCCCUGACCGUCACACUUCCUACUUCAGGUUCACAGGAACACAGUGCUGGCCAGUGAUGUUGGCUUGCUUCAUUAACCACUACCAUUGCAGCAUGUCUGCAAACUAGAUUGGGUGGGAUGUAGCCUGGGAACAGGACGUAUCUGAGCUCAUGUUUUAUUUGCUAUUUCUAUGCACAAUUUGCAUUUGCGAAAAACAUUCCAACCAACCUCAACUACAGUGAAAGGUAAUUCAUCUCUAUCUUGAGGAGCCAUGUUUCAAAAUGGUUUCUUUAUCCAUCAUGUAACUCUGAGGACUUGGUGGUGGAAGUCAGUCAAUUGGGUCACUUCCAGUUAGUGCUGCUAUUUAUUUUGUCGUAGGCUAUUAUUUUGCUGUUAAAAAGAAGUGAGGCAAAACCUGCUUUAAAAUACAUGACGUAUACCUCAUGAAAACAUACGUUUUCACAACUUCAUCAGCACACAAAAUGCUUCCCAGUACAUGUGACAGAGAUGAAUGUCUGGCCGCUUGUGAACCGAUGGCCACAGCAACACGUCUGCAAAUGCAACGGCUGGGAAAUAUUGAAUCUGCAUAAUUUCUAAAGGACAUGAACAUACACAAUUUCAUAAAAGUGAAAAUGUGGGGUCCAAACUGGGGUCCAAACCACUAUAAAAACUAAAAAAAAAUCAGUAUUCUAUCAUCAAAUAUUUUACAUGGUAAAACCUUUAACCUUUAGUCUUUUCUAUGGUUUCCAACAUGGGUCCACCCAUGUAGCUUCUUAAUUAAUCUGCGAUACUGCCGACUGAACGAGAGGGAAGGUAACCUCUUCCUGUGUUCAGGUGGACCUAUAGACCCAGGGUUAGCAGCAGGGGUAGCGCUGGGUACAGCGGUCCUGUUGAUCGUGGGCCUGGUUCUCCUCAUUCGCUGGCACAGAAGGAGAGGUGAGAGGAGACCAUUGACACCAUCAUGUUGUCACGUCUACAUCUGUCUACACCGUUUAUAUCACCAUGGAAACGUUCACUGUGGCUUUCUCUUCACAGAAAACAAGAUGCCAAAGGACACCAGAACCACUCAUCUCAGUGUGGACGGAGAUCAGGGCGGAGGUCCAACAUACGCCUCUAUUGUCCUGUAUGAGGGACAGAGGAGCGUGGCUACAGCACAGGAUGAGGACGGUUCCAGCGAUGCAGUGACCUACUCCUCAGUGAGAGCCUCUCCCAGAUGUGGAGAGAAGGCUGGUGGGGACGUACACUACGCCACCGUCAACAAACGGGCAUAAUAACAAAACAUCUGUAGAUGAGUUCAGGAUGAAACAGAGCCAGCAGCAGCAGCAACCGGCAGUAGCAAUUAAGGUUGUAUUCAAGUUUAGUAUAUUAAUAGUAAAAAUAAAAUAAAUUGGAUCAAUAGUCUUCUGAAUGAAUUGCUGAAUUUUCAUAUGAGAGAAGAUAAGAGGGAAAUGUAAACUGGAAAACCUACAAUUGCUGAAGAAAUUGUACUUCACUUCCAUUACAUGCUUAUAUGUGUGUAUAUUUGUGUGUUUAUCUAUGUGUACAUUACGUUCCUGUAUUUGUACGUAUGUAUACUUAUGUGUACGUAUGUUUGUGAUGUUAUGCGAUGAAUGUAUGAACUAGUUCUAUGGUACCAGCAGUUAAUUUCCGACCACUUUGUGAGCUCAGCUUGUCAUGUCUGCAGUGUUGGGGAGUAACGGAAUACAUAUACCGGCGGGGGUCAUCCCUAUGUUCCCCGGCCUAUGUUCCCCGGGUCCUAUGUUCCCCGCGUCCUAUGUUCCCCAGGGCCUAUGUUCCCGGGUCCUAUGUUCCCG
ensembl:lncRNA